UAUAUAAUAAGUAUAGAAAUUUAUAGUUUAUUCGUCCAACCUCAGAUAAAAGAUACAGUUAAUAUCUUUUUUGUAAAUAGAACUAUCAAUAGGAAUCAUGAAAAUCAAAUAUUUGAGAAAGUGAAACAAAGUCAAACUACUAACAAGUAAGAACCAAGAUGUAUUUAAAUUUAAUUCCAAAGUCUUCUCUCGCUAAAUCAUUCUUUUAAUUUAUUCUUCCGUGAUAAAAAGCCAAUUUUAAGCAAAUG